rnacentral:rRNA from 1 species
UGGGGGAUAUUGCACAAUGGGGGGAACCCUGAUGCAGCGACGCCGCGUGAGGGAAGACGGUUUUCGGAUUGUAAACCUCUGUCUUUAGGGACGAAAAAAAGUGACGGUACCUAAAGAGGAAGCCACGGCUAACUACGUGCCAGCAGCCGCGGUAAUACGUAGGUGGCAAGCGUUGUCCGGAAUUACUGGGUGUAAAGGGAGCGUAGGCGGGGAGGCAAGUUGAAUGUUUAAACUAUCGGCUCAACUGAUAGUCGCGUUCAAAGCUGCCACUCUUGAGUGCAGUAGAGGUAGGCGGAAUUCCUAGUGUAGCGGUGAAAUGCGUAGAUAUUAGGAGGAACACCAGUGGCGAAGGCGGCCUACUGGGCUGUAACUGACGCUGAGGCUCGAAAGCGUGGGUAGCAAACAGGAUUAGAUACCC